GGACUCGGUUCGUUCGUCGAUGCAAAACGCUGCAACGUGCAAGCUGUGCAGGCUGCAGCACUAUGGAAGACCAUGGCAACGAAUGCAGAUGC
rnacentral:rRNA from 15 species